GAUGAACGCUGGCGGCGUGCCUAAUACAUGCAAGUCGAGCGAACAGAUGAGGAGCUUGCUCCUCUGACGUUAGCGGCGGACGGGUGAGUAACACGUGGAUAACCUACCUAUAAGACUGGGAUAACUUCGGGAAACCGGAGCUAAUACCGGAUAAUAUAUUGAACCGCAUGGUUCAAUAGUGAAAGACGGUUUUGCUGUCACUUAUAGAUGGAUCCGCGCCGCUUUAGCUAGUUGGUAAGGUAACGGCUUACCAAGGCAACGAUGCGUAGCCGACCUGAGAGGGUGAUCGGCCACACUGGAACUGAGACACGGUACAGACUCCUACGGGAGGCAGCAGUAGGGAAUCUUCCGCAAUGGGCGAAAGCCUGACGGAGCAACGCCGCGUGAGUGAUGAAGGUCUUCGGAUCGUAAAACUCUGUUAUUAGGGAAGAACAAAUGUGUAAGUAACUAUGCACGUCUUGACGGUACCUAAUCAGAAAGCCACGGCUAACUACGUG
rnacentral:rRNA from 1 species